GUGCUAAUACAUGCGAUUGUUUCUCCAGAUGUGAAUUAUGGAGGAAAAGUUGACCUCAUCAGAGGCACGCCAUUCGACUGAGUGACCUAUCAGCUUGUACUUAGGGUCUUUACCUAGGUAGGCUAUCACGGGUAACGGGCGGUUACCGUCGGACUGCCGGAGAAGGCGCCUGAGAGAUAGCGACUAUAUCCACGGGUAGCAGCAGGCGCGAAACUUUCCCACUCGAGACUUUCGGAGGAGGUAAUGACCAGUUCCAUUGGUGCCUUUUGGUACUGUGGAUAGGGGUACGGUUUUCCACCGUACCGAAACCUAGCAGAGGGCCAGUCUGGUGCCAGCAGCUGCGGUAAUUCCAGCUCUGCGAGUUUGCUCCCAUAUUGUUGCAGUUAAAACGCCCGUAGUCUGAAUUGGCCAGCAAUGGUCGUACGUAUUUUUACGUUCACUGUGAACAAAUCAGGACGCUUAGAGUAUGGCCACAUGAAUGACUCAGCGCAGUAUGAAGUCUUUGUUUUCUUCCGAAAACAAGCUCAAUGAGAGCCAUCGGGGGUAGAUCUAUCUCAUGACGAGUGGUGGAAUACUUUGACUCAUGAGAGAGAAGCUGAGGCGAAGGCGUCUACCUAGAGGGUUUCUGUCGAUCAAGGGCGAGAGUAGGAGUAUCCAACAGGAUUAGAGACCCUGGUAGUUCCUACCUUAAACGAUGCCGACAGGAGUUUGUCAUUUGUUAAUGGCAGAAUCUUUGGAGAAAUCAUAGUUCUUGGGCUCUGGGGGAACUACGACCGCAAGGCUGAAACUUGAAGGAAUUGACGGAAGGGCACACCAGGGGUGGAGCCUGUGGCUUAAUUUGAAUCAACACGGGGAAACUUACCAGGACCAGAUGUUUUUUAUGACUGACAGGCUUCGGGUCUUUCAGGAUAUUGUUUUUGGUGGUGCAUGGCCGUUGGUGGUGCGUGGGUUGACCUGUCUAGCGUUGAUCAGCUAACGAGCGA
rnacentral:ncRNA from 2 species